AGGUUCAACUUUCGAGUUUGGUCGAAUCAUAUAUUUGAGAAACUACUCAAAAUAUAUUUAGCUAGCAAAACCUAAGCAUAUUUCCUUAAAUCAUAUAAAGUAUAAUAUCAAAACAUCUUCAGAAAAAGAAAGGUUCUAAGAUAAGUGAAUAAUAUUAUUCAUAACAUUUGAAAUUCCUUGGAGGUGCAAGUAAUUAGAAUGUUACCAUGGCAACGUCUGCGUCUUCGUCCCAAAUAUUGGUUCUAUUUCCUAUACAAUGAUCCAUCCUUCGGAGAGUUCAUGAAGUGUAGUGCAUUCUUUGUUUUGGGAAUAUGUGUGCUGAGACGUCUAGGAAAGGACUUUCCAAAUCUGUCGGUCCAGUUUGAAAAGUUACUGCAGUCCUAAAUGAAGUCGUAGGCGAAAUGGCAUUAGAACUGCAUCAAGUUUAUCUUUUUCCCUUAAUUUGGCAUUGCAAAUUGUGUGAAACAAUUAAGUAGUAUAUUCGUAAAUAAAUUUUUUUUUUAAUGAAACAUUUUUACAGAGA